UCUUUCGGUAUAAGGGGUAAAGAUGGUUAUAGUUUAUACAAGUGGGACUUGUGGAUUCCCAUUAUACAAAUAUAUAUUCCUGCAGUCAUCCUGGUAGCAUCUUGUGUGGUUACAACUACAACCCUCUGCAAAAGAAUACACUGUAGUAGUGUGCAUGGAGUCAUCACAAGUUCUAACAUAUCCCCAUCUUCAGGUAAUUCUCUAAAAAUUACAAAGAAGGCUAUCAAAACAGUAAUCAUCGUGACUGUGGUUUUCUUGUGCAUGACGUUACCGAACGCUGUUGUUCGUUAUUGUCUUACAAAAGCGCGGCCCUCUGAUGACAUAUAUCGGUAUAUUCGAUUGUUAAAUAUGGAGACAAUAACUAAUAUACUUAGGCUAUCUAACAGUUGUAUUAAUCCAUUCAUAUACGCUUUGGUGUCCAGAAGUUUUCGGUUGGCUGUGAAAUCAACGUUUUGCAAAAGAACAGCUCAACAAAAUAGAAGUUAGGGAAACCAUGGAUGCAUUAGAUAAGCGCAAUUAACUAUUAUUUUAUUAUAUAAUAACGCCAGAUGUUCCGACAUUUGGAUUUGCUAAAAUAUAAUUGAACAUAGACCAGAGGAUCCACUAAUUAGUCUUAAAUAAAAUAAAAAGACAGUAACUCCGAAAAGAGACAAAGACAUUUUGAGAUGGAUGUUGCGAUAUUUUUGAUCAUUUUCAAGAAUACUGAUGAGACUUGUUGAAUAAUCUUCGAUUAUUCAUUGUUUAUUCAUGACAAUCAUACCUAAUGUAAGACAAAACUCAUUUUUAAUUACCUCGUUUUAAUUGGCUAGAUUCAACUUUGAUUUUAAUCUUAUUGAUCGGUUUUUAUUUGCUUCUGUAAUACUUCUAUAAAAAUUGUAAAUAUAUGGGUAGGUGAGAUUUUCUUAUCAGUAUUCUUGAAAAUGAUCAAAAAAAUCGAAACGUUGAAUCUUAAAAUGUCUGUCUCUUUUCGGAGUUACUGUCUUUUUUAUUUAUAAUUAACAUUUAAACAUUUACACUACAAAACAUAUUUGUGGACAAUGUUAAUAUUUUAGCCAAUAUCUGAUUUAGUUACAUGUACAGAGAAAUGUUUACGUAGAUAACCUCUAAAUCACUUUGCCAUAGCGCUUCAAAUUACUAUAUAUAUAAUUUAUAUAUAUAUUAUAAACAAAUAUAUAACAUUUAAAUGUAAAUAUAUUAUUAUUAUUAUAUUAUAUUUUUUCAUUAUUUAAUGUUGAUGCUUCAAAAUAUAUCAUGAGUCUUUUACGGUCUUCUAUAUUACCCUGCAACGGACUUAGAGCUAUGUAAAAUUAAUACCAUUAUGUUCAGAUAUUAGGAAUAGGCCUAGUAAUUUAUUGUGCAAAAUGAUCAAGUGUUGCUGAAUGGGUUAAACCUCACGAAACAUAUUCCCAUUUGGUUUGCUGAGUAGCACCGCAAACACAAUAUAACCAAAUACAUAGGAACAUAACUAUAUAGGCCUAUGUGAUAAUUAUGUAGUAUUAAGCCAAUGUUAAUGUAACAUGUUACUGCUUUAAUCUUUAUUAGAUUUCCCUUAAUACCACGUACUGUAUGUAAAAUUGUAUAUUAUGUUUGUUAACGAAUAAUUGUCAUUUCUCUCCACAACCCUAUAAAAUCAUCUAUUUUAAUAAGCAACUUUUUGCAAAAGACAUGGUGCCACUUUUGAUCUUUGUUUAUCAUUCAUACAUCAUUUUAAAAACUAUUGAUAUUUAUGCUUUUAUUUUGUUUGAUUUAUAGGAUCAUUGUAUGAUUUAUAUUGACCUGAUUGUUUGAAUCUUUAUUAUGUUAGUUUAAGUUUCCUUGUAUUGUUUAGCAUUAAGUUAAACAUUUUAUUUCAAAAUUGUGUUUAUGUAUUUGCCUAGUUUUAAACUUGCUUUUUGUUCGUAAAAACUGUUAUUUUGGAUGCACCACUAUUGUGUGUGCCACCGAUCUUAAGGUCCUAAUAAAUUGAUUGAUUGAUUGA
rnacentral:lncRNA from 1 species